CUGGCGGCGUGCCUAAUACAUGCAAGUCGAGCGCGGGAAGCAGAUGGAAUCCUUCGGGAGGAAAUCUGUGGAACGAGCGGCGGACGGGUGAGUAACACGUGGGUAACCUGCCUGUAAGACUGGGAUAACUCGCGGAAACGUGAGCUAAUACCGGAUGAAACUUCUUAUCACCUGAUGAGAAGAUGAAAGGCGGCUUCGGCUGCCACUUACAGAUGGACCCGCGGCGCAUUAGCUAGUUGGUGAGAUAAUGGCUCACCAAGGCGACGAUGCGUAGCCGACCUGAGAGGGUGAUCGGCCACACUGGGACUGAGACACGGCCCAGACUCCUACGGGAGGCAGCAGUAGGGAAUCUUCCGCAAUGGACGAAAGUCUGACGGAGCAACGCCGCGUGAGUGAUGAAGGUUUUCGGAUCGUAAAACUCUGUUGUUAGGGAAGAACAAGUACCGUUCGAAUAGGGCGGUACCUUGACGGUACUUAACCAGAAAGCCCCGGCUAACUACGUGCCAGCAGCCGCGGUAAUACGUAGGGGGCAAGCGUUGUCCGGAAUUAUUGGGCGUAAAGCGCUCGCAGGCGGCCUUUUAAGUCUGAUGUGAAAGCCCACGGCUCAACCGUGGAGGGUCAUUGGAAACUGAAGGGCUUGAGUACAGAAGAGGAGAGUGGAAUUCCACGUGUAGCGGUGAAAUGCGUAGAUAUGUGGAGGAACACCAGUGGCGAAGGCGACUCUCUGGUCUGUAACUGACGCUGAGGAGCGAAAGCGUGGGGAGCGAACAGGAUUAGAUACCCUGGUAGUCCACGCCGUAAACGAUGAGUGCUAGGUGUUAAGGGGUUUCCGCCCCUUAGUGCUGAAGUUAACGCAUUAAGCACUCCGCCUGGGGAGUACGGCCGCAAGGCUGAAACUCAAAAGAAUUG
rnacentral:rRNA from 1 species